rnacentral:rRNA from 1 species
UACGUAGGUGGCAAGCGUUGUCCGGAUUUACUGGGUGUAAAGGGAGCGUAGACGGCUGUGCAAGCCAGAUGUGAAAGCCCGGGGCUCAACCCCGGGACUGCAUUUGAAACUGUUUCCCUUGAGUAUCGGAGAGGUCAUCGGAAUUCCUAGUGUAGCGGUGAAAUGCGUAGAUAUUAGGAAGAACACCAGUGGCGAAGGCGGAUGACUGGACGACAACUGACGGUGAGGCGCGAAAGCGUGGGGAGCAAACAGG